rnacentral:rRNA from 1 species
CACCGGUUUAAACUCAGAUCAUGUAAAAUUUUAAUGGUCGAACAGACCAAAUUUAUUAGCUUCUACACCAAUAUUUUAUUUUAAUCCAACAUCGAGGUCGCAAUCUUUUUUUUUGAUAAGAACUCUAAAAAAAUUUACGCUGUUAUCCCUAAGGUAAUUUAAUCUUUUAAUCUAAAAAUUAGGAUCAAUAAUUCAUAAAUAAAUGAUUUUUCAAAAAAAAGUUCUUUUAAUUUUUUUAUCACCCCAAUAAAAUAUUUUUUCGUUAAAACAAUUUUAAAUCCUUUAUUACAAUUAACUAAAAAUAUAAAACUCUAUAGGGUCUUCUCGUCUUCUAUAUAUAUUUAAGCUUUUUAACUUAAAAAUAAAAUUCUAAUCAAUUUUUACAGAGACAGAAACUUUCUCAUCAAACCCUUCAUCCCAGCUUUUAAUUAAAAAACUAAUGAUUAUGCUACCUUUGCACGGUCAAGAUACCGCGGCCAUUUAACUUCUCAUUGGGCAGGUUAGACCUAAAAUUAUUUUUCAAUAAGCC